rnacentral:rRNA from 1 species
GUAGGUGGCAAGCGUUGUCCGGAAUUAUUGGGCGUAAAGCGCGCGCAGGGUGGUUCCUUAAGUCUGAUGUGAAAGCCCCCGGGCUCAACCGGGGAGGGUCAUUGGAAACUGGGGAACUUGAGUGCAGGAGAGGAAAGUGGAAUUCCACGUGUAGCGGUGAAAUGCGUAGAUAUGUGGAGGAACACCAGUGGCGAAGGCGACUUUCUGGCCUGUAACUGACACUGAGGCGCGAAAGCGUGGGGAGCAAACAGGAUUAGAUACCCUGGUAGUCCACGCCGUAAACGAUGAGUGCUAAGUGUUGGGGGGUUUCCGCCCCUCAGUGCUGCAGCUAACGCAUUAAGCACUCCGCCUGGGGAGUACGACCGCAAGGUUG